rnacentral:rRNA from 1 species
GUCGAGAAUCUUUCACAAUGGGGGCAACCCUGAUGGAGCGACGCCGCGUGGAGGAUAAGGUCUUCGGAUUGUAAACUCCUGUCAUGCGUGAACAAGGUUGCUUGGAUAAUACCUGAGCAAAUUGAUGGUAGCGCAAGAGGAAGAGACGGCUAACUCUGUGCCAGCAGCCGCGGUAAUACAGAGGUCUCAAGCGUUGUUCGGAAUCACUGGGCGUAAAGGGUGCGUAGGUGGCGUGGCAAGUCAGAUGUGAAAGCCCGGGGCUCAACCUCGGAAAUGCAUCCGAUACUGCCAUGCUAGAGUACUGGAGGGGUGACUAGAAUUCUCGGUGUAGCAGUGAAAUGCGUAGAUAUCGAGAGGAAUACCAAAGGCGUAGGCAGGUCACUGGACAGUUACUGACACUGAGGCACGAAGGCCAGGGGAGUGAACGGGAUUAGAUACCCGAGUAGUCC